rnacentral:lncRNA from 1 species
GGGGGGGGGAGCUCACCUUCCCCCGGCCCCCACCACGUGAGGACACGGUGAGAAGGCACCCCUGCAGAAGCAGAGCUGACCCAGUCAGCACAUUGAGCCUGGAAGUCCAGCCUCCAGACGGUAGAAACUUGACCAGGCUUCCAUUUCUGAUCACUCCCUUCUGAAUAUUCAGAACUGCCGGUGGGAGGCCUCCUGGAAGGGUCUAUGGGCAGCUCGGUGGACGCUCGUCCUGGCCUGGGGCCCCACAGUGGACACCUGCGCCCCACACUGGGUCCGGCCUCACCCUCCGCAGGGGGCCCAGGUCACAGCUGGGGGCCUCUCUUCAUGUCCUACUCCCCCAUUAACAUUCCUCUGUUCAAAUUAGUGGUUUGGGCCUCCUGCCUGAGCCCUGACUUAGCAAUUCCUAAUCUCGGUUGGGAUUUUCCGGUCGUUGUGAUUCUCAUUCGUCUCUUGGCACAGUCCUCACGGUGACUCUGUACCUUCCCGGCUACGUCAGCCGAAGCUGCUUUAAAGUCUGUGUCUGAGAGCCCUGGUGUCUCAUCUUCCUCUCGGCAUUUCACCCGCUCCGCAGGACACGCGGCACACUCUCCAGGACUGGUGACAACGUGUACGAGAAACACCCGAGGAUCCGGACGAGACCGUCAGCUGAGGGGGCUUCGUUUUCUGCAGCCCAGCUCUUGGAGCAGAAGGAUCCUGUGUGGGUCCACUGGGCACUGAGACGCUCUGAGGCUGGGCUUCAGGCUUUGCCAAAAGCUGCUCGAUUUCCGCUGGUCUUGACUCUCCAUCUGCUGCGCCGCUGGGGCCUCUGCUCCAAGGGGGAGGCCCUUUGCCUCCGGUUUUCCCUCCCCAGUUCUCCGAGACCCCAAGCUCCCUGCCCCUUGGUGUCUGCAUUCUCCUUAGCUUCUCUAGGCUCUUAGGACCACAUGGGGCUUGGGACGUGGCAACGUCCCCAAAGAAACAUUUGUUCAAGGUGGUAGGAACACGUCUUGAAACUCUCUUCUCACGGACCUCGGCCCCUCAAGUCCUGACAGCCUGAUCGUCUCGAAUACUCGUGGACCUUUUCGGACCCGUGAGAGGCAGCUCUCGGCUUGGACCCUUUGCACCGCACAGCAAAUUUCAGACAUCCCCGGGGAGGAAGCGUCACCCUGACCGCCUCUGUUCUCCCUCCCUGGAAGGAGAGAAUGGUCUGAGUUGUAGUCUGGUGUCUUUCAACAGCGGUUGAUCUUGCAUUUUGUCCAGCCUUCACGACCAUGCUUGGUGGGCGUGUUGGUCUGGUACCACAUAUUCUACAAGCACGGGGCAUCUGUUUCAUAAUUGAUUUUUCCCCAUAACCAGGCCUGAAGCGUCUAUGGCCUGGUUUUCCCCCAGAUUUUCCAUUUCACACAACCUAAUUUCCUCCUGAGCACACUCUUGGGGUCCAGCAAACGCAAUUUUAUGUAGAAACUAAAAACGGAAGCAAUUACUUGGGUAAUUUCAGUAAAAAUCAUCUGGGGCUCGAUUUACCUAGAUGGCCCAUACGAAGUCCAGAGGAAACGAGGAACCACUUGGCAGUGUUCUGGAGUGGGGGCAACACACAAAUAUUUGAGUUUCUUGAAUAACCAUUAUUUGAGUUCUAUCACGGCCAACAGCAUUGGCCACAGGACUUUGAUUGCAUGGGGAUUUGUUUUUCCGAGGAAGAUAAGAGAGGCCCUUUCGUAAACGGCCUGGGCUCUCUAACCUUUGGCGCUACCUCUGCUGGAAUUUCCAGGAGGUGGUUUUCAGGAGAAGCAAGGAAGAGAUUCUGAACGCGCCCGGCACAGGGACGGGCCCCAGCAUGUGCAGUUUUUCUUCCCUUCUCUCUCCUGAGCUGUGCUUGUCCCAGAUCCCACUAGAGGCGCCCCGCUGCAGAGCUUCCACGGGACUGUCCACUUCCGGGAGGCAGGGACGGGGCCCGGCCAUCCUGGGCCGAGGGCCUGGGUGGGCAGGUGGUUGGCGCAGCCGAAGAGGGAAUGGAGCUGCAUUCCCGUACCCGUUUGCAGCAAUGGCAUUCGAUGGGCACCUCCUCUGUGCUACGAUGUGGGGAUGCAAAGAUGCAGACGCAGUCCUUCUGGCGGAUGUGUUGCCAUGGAAACGUGAAAGGAGCUCUGAGGGCGCUGACCUCUGGGCUGUGGGGGAAGAUCCUGAGUGGUAAAACCAAGUGGGGCUGGGGCCUCUGUCCCCUGACCCUGCCCUGCGGAUUGCCCUUCAGAAGGCCACUGUCCCUCCAGCUGAGUUCAUCUACCCACUCAGAGCCUGGGGGGGGGGGGGGGGGGAGCAGGAGAGAACAGGGACAAAAAGUUGUGAACCACGGGAUGCUCAGAAGAACCAACGGCAGUGCCCCCUCCCCGUCCCCCACCUGCCAGGCACCCCUGGCCCCACCACCGCCACCUGACAGACACUCCCAGUGGGUAAGUUGGACCAAGAUGGUGUCCAGGACACGGGAACCAUCAUGGGGUGGGGGGCUCGGAACGCUCUGCCUGUGGAUCUUGGGCGGGGAGGGCUUCUCUCUCCCCCACUUGUGUCCCCUCUGAUCACCUGGAAAGCACACCUGGUCUCCUCCAGGUGCAGCCAGACAGAGACCCUGGUCUGCCUUCGAGUCCACUGCUAGAGUAAGAGCCCAGAUCCAAGCACCAAGCAGGUGCUUGAAAUAUUAAAAGGUUUCACCUCCAUCACCUCCCUUCCUCCUUCCGCCCCUGCCCCCCACCCUGGCCCCCCAAGCUCCCCCUUGGGCACCCAUGCCAAGAGCUGCCUCAGGCAAACUGAGACGGGGCAUUUGACAGUCGGGUGACUGAACCCAGGAUUCGGCCCGCUGGCUCCUGCCCGGCCCCUCUGGCGGAGAUCAGGGGAUGUGCUUAGAGGGAGAGACGGGGCAAGAGAAGAUGGCCAGGCCUUGUUCCUCCUGCUGCUGGAGGUAAAAGGAGAAACACCGGAAGACACAUUUGACCACGCCAUCAGGGCGCUCAGAGUUGGCGCCCCCUCGUCGCUGCCCAGGCCGGAGCCCCUUUUGUUACCGGAAAGCACUGGAUGGAGAAGAUUGCAUCUGGGGGUUGGGCUGUGUCUGUUUCCCUGUGUUUUCUGGGCUCUGGUUCCUAAUUCUGGCAUUUCCAUCCACACGGGCCCGUGCUGCUCUUUCUGCCCCAUUGCUUCCUUUAAAAACUUGAACCCAGUGAGCAUCCUGCCUCCCAGCCCGCUCUCUCUCUCUCUCACACACACACACACACACACACACACACACACUUGCACACGCACACGCGCACCUCCCUGAAUUUGCAACCCACACCGGGAUGCCCCCGCCCCCCCCCAGGAGGUCCCCGCCCCCCCCACCCGAGCCCUUUCAAGAUGCCCCAGAGGUUUUAGAUCCAUAAAGGGCCGUAGAUUUGGGACAGGCCUUUGCAUUCCUCUAGGUCAGCUCCCCUCACUUCACACACGGGGCAGCUGGCAGGUGGGGUCGGCCCUGGAGCUGCCGUGACCUGACUCACUGCGACGUGGAGGCUGCAGGCAAAUCACAGCUCUGCCUGGGAGAAGCGCUUCCCAGAGGGCGUCCCUGCUGCCCGGACACCUGUGGGGAUGUCCCAGCAGUGCCGCUCACCGCCACCAAGGAUGGAGGCAGGCCGGUCACCUUUCACUAGAGGAAUGGCUGAGGGACAGAAGGCUGUGACUUGGCUUGAACCAGCCAUACGUGCAGGACCACGACCUGCUCUGGACACCAAACGCUACCAGGGCCAAGGGUUGACGGCCCCGCCGUGGAAGUUUGGGCCCCCAGGAGAGAGCUGCUCCAGUGGCUUCUGUGGGCGGUGACGACCUGGUCUCUUGGCCCCUCCCCUCGUCUUCCUGCUGCUCAGCCUGGACCAGCUGGGGCCCCUCCCCGGACCCCGCCUGCCUCUCGGAGAUCAGGAAGGGAGGGGUGGGGGCAUCCCCCCAACCCCCGUGUGGCCCUGAGUCUGGCUCUGCCUCACUGGCCCAGUACGAGCUUCAGUCUCCUCACUGUCCCUCCCGCAGCUCUGAAGCCAAGCCCGCAAGUCGGGGCAUCUGUCUGUCUCCCGCCUGCCCAGCCCUGGGGGCUUCUCAAACCGUCAGCAUUUCCAAGGCUUUGUCCUGAACGGGACCACCCAAGGUCUGCAGCAGGCCGACCCGAUUCCUGGCUGUGCCUCUGGUGCUGCCGAGUGGUUGGAUUUCCCAUGGAACCUUCCGUGGAAGGUCAGAGAAGCAAGGUCACAUCUGGGAGCAGGACACAAAUGACGUGUCACCCACGCAGCUGUCAGCGCGGUGAACAUCAGGAAGCGUUUCUCACCUCAAGUACAACGUGGCACCAGCCUGGCUGACGACACCCGACACAUUCUAGCUGAACGCUUCCUGGCACGGAUUUUGCCGUUGGUUCUCUCUGCCCACCAGAUUAACCCCUGGUGUGAUCUGGGCUCAGACCUGACACCUGCACUGGACCGGGCUAUCCACACCUUGACCAGCCCCCUGUCCUCUGCUAAGAGCCUCUUGGCAGCUAACGCUGUGCCACCGUGGAUGCCCCAUUUGGCCUCUGACUAAGACCAGCCUGACUUCACCCCUCCUGCUGCCUCAAUGAUGGGCAUGGGUCCCCUGGGCCAGGGAGGUAUCCCCAAGACUCUAAUUUCGAGGGCAGAGACCUUCAAUUGCUUUUCUUUGAAUUCAAAAAAAUGUGGGCCUAGAGCUGCAGGGGCCCCCCGGCCCUCCGUGGAGCCUAAAAGCAGAGAUAACUUGGAGGAGGGAGACUGUCAAAGAGGGGAUGAGACCAGGUUCUAACGAUAUCAUCUGAGCUCCUGGAUCUAGCCAAGCCUGAAGCCAAGCUCUUUGACUUUUUAGCCAUUAUCUGAGCCAAGGCAUUCCUUUUAUCUUUUUUCUUUUCUUUCCUUUUUUUCAAAUAAAGGAAAUUUUUAGUU